rnacentral:rRNA from 1 species
GACGAACGCUGGCGGCGUGCCUAACACAUGCAAGUCGAACGGAGAUAUGAUUUCGGUUGUAUCUUAGUGGCGAACGGGUGAGUAACGCGUGAACAACCUGACUCUAAGAGGGGGAUAACACUCGGAAACGGGUGCUAAUACCGCAUAAGACCACGACCCGGCAUCGGGAUGAGGCCAAAGGAGCAAUCCGCUGAGAGAGGGGUUCGCGUCCCAUUAGAUAGAUGGCGGGGUAACGGCCCACCAUGUCAACGAUGGGUAGCCGAGCUGAGAGGCUGAUCGGCCACACUGGAACUGAGACACGGUCCAGACUCCUACGGGAGGCAGCAGUGGGGAAUAUUGGGCAAUGGGCGCAAGCCUGACCCAGCAACGCCGCGUGAGGGAAGAAGGCUUUCGGGUUGUAAACCUCUGUCCUUGGUGACGAAACAAAUGACGGUAGCCAAGGAGGAAGCCCCGGCUAACUACGUGCCAGCAGCCGCCGUAA